AUACAGAGGGUGCAAGCGUUACUCGGAAUCACUGGGCGUAAAGCGCGCGCAGGCGGUCUUUUAAGUUGGAUGUGAAAGCCUACGGCUCAACCGUAGAACUGCAUCCAAAACUAUUAGACUAGAGUGUGGGAGAGGAAGAUGGAAUUAGUUGUGUAGGGGUAAAAUCCGUAGAGAUAACUAGGAAUACCAAAAGCGAAGGCAAUCUUCUGGAACACUACUGACGCUGAGGCGCGAAAGCGGGGGGAGCAAACAGGAUUAGAUACCCUAGUAGUCC
rnacentral:rRNA from 1 species